AGUAAGAGAGAAAUAGAGAAGGCUAUGGAUUUGGGUAGUGAUGUAGAGAAGAAGAUUAAGUUUGACCCUAAAAUGGAAACGCCACAAGAAUAUGCUUUAUACUGCAACUGGGUUUCCUUCAAGAUCUUCUUCCAUAAAGACCCCAAAGCCCUCAUCCAGACCUUCGAUCUCGCCGGAAAUACUGCCAUCCACGUCUCCACCCGGUCCGACGACCCCGACCUCAUCCGACAACUCCUCGACAUGCUUCCUGACGACGGGGAUCGCCGGCAAGCGCUGAGGAUGGGGAAUGCUCACAACAACACGCUUCUUCAUCAGGUCAUUUUCUGCAACAAUCUAAAGAUGGUCGAAACCGUGCUCAACUCCGAGAUGGACAAGAAGCUAAAGAAGACUAAUGAUGAUGAAGAUGAUCUAUUGGAGCUGCUGAACGACCUCGGUGAAACGCCGCUGUAUAGGGCCGCCAAGUGCGGACGGCUGAGGAUGUUGAAGCACAUGGCCGGAUUAGUGGAUGAUAUGAAGAAGCAUUUUCACAGGCGACAGCCAAAACUAGACAUCACUUCCAUUCUUCACAUCGCUAUAAUUGGCCAACAUUUUGAUGUGGCAGUUUGGCUGUCGAAAAAGGAAGGGAUAGAGAAAGUAGCGUUCGAGAACGAUGGGAACAAAUUGACGUGUCUUCAAUUGCUUUCCAGAAUGCCUUCUGUUUUCCAGAGCUAUAAUUCCCAUUCUUCCAGACAAAGGUUAUGAUGAUGAAGAUGAAGAUAAUGGAUUUAUGAGAGGGAAGGGAGAUUUAGAAACUGGAAAAAACAAGCUCAAGAAACAAAUCUCAUUACGUUCUGGUACGUACAUAUACCUCGCUACUCAUCAACAACUUCUUCAUAUUGAAUGCUAUUAUAUAUUGCAGUUUUCUCAAGGAUUUGCUACACUCUCUGGAAAAUUAUCGCCAAAGAAUGGGAUAUUGUGAAAGAAAUCUGGGAGAGGAAGAAGAAACACAGGUUGGCAGAGUUACUAGCGGACUUCUUAGUAAGCCAGGACAACUCAUGGAUGGAAACAAAACAUGGAGAACCUCCAAACGAGGUUGUCCUGUCAGUGAUUCAACCCUCCAAUGUCACCGCCACGAAGAAAUUAGCCAUGCUCGAAAAGACCCACUCGCUCGAGAAACCCAUCCCUUGCAAGGAUUACACGCCAUUGCUGCUAGCAGCGAGCACAGGUAUCGUGGAGAUCGUCAAGAGGAUCAUCGAGCUUCAUCCAGACGCCAUCUCUCACAUUAGCCAACACGACGAGCAGAACGUGCUUCACGUCGCCGUCAAGCAUCGUCAGAAAUAGAUCUAUAAGCUGUUCAAGAAAUAUGGAGCUCUCAGAUGGUUGGGUUGUCAGAUGGCAAAUCAAGGUCAGACUCUAUUGCACCAGGUUGCGGGGAUGGAUUAUUAUGAUGGAGGCAAUCAGCUUGGUGUUGUGUUUCAACUUCAGGACGAGCUACGUUGGUUCGAACGAGUGAAGAGAAUAGUACCUUCUCCUUACCAGUUAUAUUGCAACGG